UACGUAGGGGGCAAGCGUUGUCCGGAAUCAUUGGGCGUAGAGCGCGCGUAGGCGGCCCGGUAAGUCCGCUGUGAAAGUCGGGGGCUCAACCCUCGGAUGCCGGUGGAUACUGUCGGGCUUGAGUGCGGAAGAGGCGAGUGGAAUUCCUGGUGUAGCGGUGAAAUGCGCAGAUAUCAGGAGGAACACCAAUUGCGAAGGCAGCUCGCUGGGACGUUACUGACGCUGAUGCGCGAAAGCGUGGGGAGCAAACAGG
rnacentral:rRNA from 1 species